UACAGAGGUCCCGAGCGUUGUUCGGAUUCACUGGGCGUAAAGGGUGCGCAGGUGGCGCUUCAAGUUUGAUGUGAAAGCUUCGGGCUCAACCCGGAAAUGGCAUUGAAUACUGGAGUGCUGGAGGUUUGGAGGGGGGACUGGAAUUCUCGGUGUAGCAGUGAAAUGCGUAGAUAUCGAGAGGAACACCAGUGGCGAAGGCGAGUCCCUGGACAACACCUGACACUGAGGCACGAAAGCUAGGGGAGCAAACAGGAUUAGAAACCCCCGUAGUCC
rnacentral:rRNA from 1 species